UGCGUAGGUGGUUAGGUAAGACCUGUGGGAAAGACCUGGGCUUAACCCAGGAAGGUCGCAGGUGACUGCCUGGCUAGAGGGCGGGAGAGGAGCGCGGAAUUCCCGGUGUAGCGGUGAAAUGCGUAGAGAUCGGGAGGAAGGCCGGUGGCGAAGGCGGCGCACUGGACCAUAACUGACGCUGAUGCACGAAAGCUAGGGGAGCAAACAGGAUUAGAUACCCUGGUAGUCCUAGCCCUAAACGAUGAUUGCUUGGUGUAGCCGGUACCCAAUCCGGCUGUGCCGCAGCUAACGCGAUAAGCAAUCCGCCUGGGGAGUACGGUCGCAAGGCUGAA
rnacentral:rRNA from 1 species